UUCCUGUAUUUAGCGGUUUCACUUGAAGUAAAUUUAAUCAGAGAAAAUAAAGAACCCUAUUUUUCCACAAUGAAAAGCCUUACUGUGAAAUACACCAUCACAGGCAGUGUAGGGUUUACGCAGCGAGCUCUGAGACACUUUCUCUUUAUUAUUAUGGCGGCAUUUUAAUAAGAAGGAGAAGAAGAAGAUGUGGAUGAGAGCAGUGCUCAGUAAAUUCAAUUCAGUUUUAUUCACAUAGAGCUUUUAACCAUAAACACUGUCACAGAGCAGCUUCACACAAAUCCGGAUGUAGAUUUAGAUCACGACUAAACUCAAUAAAUCCAGAGGCAACAGUAGCAAGAAAAAACUCCCUGAGAUGACACGAGGAAGGAACCGCAAGAGGACCCUGUCAUCUUCAGCGUGAAACCAGAUACUGUGAUUAUAAAUCAUUACAAUAUACAGGUGUGGAAGAGUAAAGGGAGUGUGUGUGUGUGUACAGGUGUGGAAGAGUAAAGGGAGUGUGUGUGUGUGUACAGGUGUGGGAGAGUAAAGGGAGUGUGUGUGUGUGUGUACAGGUGUGGGAGAGUAAAGGGAGUGUGUGUACAGGUGUGGGAGAGUAAAGGGAGUGUGUGUACAGGUGAGGUUAAACCUGAGGAAUCAGAGAUACUUGAACACACACCUGCUCAGAGAAUCGCACAGGGCGAGUAACAACUCGGGGAAAGCGCUAUCUAUGCUCUUCCACAUAUACAAAUCUUACAGACACCCGUGAUUGGCUAGUGCUGAUGUGAUGGACGAGGGGAGAGAGAGAGUG
ensembl:lncRNA